GGGGGAGGAGAGACGCUCAGGUCAGGACACACAGAGAAAGGACUUCACUGACUCUUUAUGGACAGACAUGUCCUCCUGCUUGGGCUGGUAGAUAAUGGUGACAUUUUUAUCCACCUGGAGUCAAUUUUUAACAGUUUUGCACACUGAACUCUGUACCGACCAAAAGACUCUCCAAGAGCCUGUUCAGACCUCGUAUCAACACUUCUGAUCACAUCUCGCUUCCUGAUUUAUAUCCAAACACACACGUCCACCACUGGAACAAAUGGAUUCUACGUUUUUACUCAAAGACAGAAAGAAGUUGGAUCAGAUGAACAUUGACAGUUUAAGAGCACAAACACGUCAUAUACGUCACAGUAAAGCACAUGGAGAUCCCACAGUGAUAGUCGGUGGUUCAUGUGGGUAGAGCUGUCCACCUGAGAUCGAAUCACUCAGGAUGGAUGUUGAUACCAGGUCUGAACCAGGCCCAGGUUAUACUAGUAAUUCAUUGGAAGUAAUUAAUUAGAAGUCCAUCAGCUGAACAGAUGCUAAACUGUAACAACACAUUAUCUAUUACGAGCAGUUUCUCUCAGGAACUUCCUCUGUGGACAGCUGUAGGAAGUGGAAGCUGGAAGCAGGAUGCUGUGGCUGUACUGAGCAGCUUCAGGUGACAGAACAGCCGGAGGUCUGCCGGGACUCUCUCUCCCACCGACAGACAGACGGUGUCUCCAGGAACCAGCUCUCUGGCCAGCAGAGUGAUGAUCCACUGAUGCAACAACGCUUCCCGGGUCAUAUUCUAGCAUCCAUCAGGCUCCAGCGGAUCAUUUCCUGCACGGAUCUUCAUCUGCUCCAUCGUGACGCUGCCUGCUUCUGUUCAGAACUGAACAACAAGCUCUCA